rnacentral:rRNA from 1 species
UGGGGAAUAUUGGACUAUGGGCGCAAGCCUGAUCCAGCCAUGCCGCGUGAGUGAUGAAGGCCCUAGGGUUGUAAAGCUCUUUCACCGGUGAAGAUAAUGACGGUAACCGGAGAAGAAGCCCCGGCUAACUUCGUGCCAGCAGCCGCGGUAAUACGAAGGGGGCUAGCGUUGUUCGGAUUUACUGGGCGUAAAGCGCACGUAGGCGGACUUUUAAGUCAGGGGUGAAAUCCCGGGGCUCAACCCCGGAACUGCCUUUGAUACUGGAAGUCUUGAGUAUGGUAGAGGUGAGUGGAAUUCCGAGUGUAGAGGUGAAAUUCGUAGAUAUUCGGAGGAACACCAGUGGCGAAGGCGGCUCACUGGACCAUUACUGACGCUGAGGUGCGAAAGCGUGGGGAGCAAACAGG